AUGGACCGCAAAACCAGUACAAGUCACAUCGACAUCCUGGAGAGGCUUCUGCUUGAUGAAAGUGCAGAGCCCACAGACCUGCCAUUGUCACUUCUGAGAGACAUAACAAAUGGUUUUUCUCUUGGUAACAAAAUUGGUACUGGCGGUUAUGCGGUGGUUUAUAAGGGAGUGGUCGGGAAAGGCAUGGUUGCCGUGAAGUUGUUAAACACGUUUGGUAUUCAUGAGAAUAAAUUCCAAGAAGAGGUUAAAUGCCUUAUAAAGGCCAAGCACAAGAAUAUAGUACGGUUUCUGGGGUAUUGCGCUGACACACAAGAUGCAACUUGUGGGCUUAAUUGGAGGGAGCGGUAUCGAAUAAUCAGGGGGGUCUGUGAUGGUUUACUUUUUCUCCACGAGAAGAGAAUUCUUCAUUUGGACCUGAAGCCCACUAAUAUAUUGCUAGAUGGUCACAUGGUACCCAAAAUUGCUGACUUUGGUUUGUCAAGAUGCCUCGGUGAAGAGCAAACCCGUUCUAUUACUCAAAAUCUAUGGGGAACACUGGGAUACAUGGAUCCAGAAUACAUCAGAUCAAGACAAAUCACGCACGCGUCGGACAUAUAUAGUCUUGGUGUUAUAAUAAUGGAGAUACUGACAGGCGUGAGGCAGUAUCUCAAAGAUGAACACGUAGUUCAAAGUUGGAUGAUUCGGUUGGAGGCAUCAGAGGGGGACAUGCAAUUGGAACAAGUAAGAGUAUGCUAUAAGAUAGCGAUAGAGUGCAUGGACUUGGACCCGAAGAAGAGAUCAGUUGCACGCCAUAUAGUUAGUAGGCUUGAUAAAAUGACAAGUGCAGAAUAUUUAGAUGAAACUAGCAUUGGCAGUUCAGUAUUUGAGCUGCAGAUAAGUUUACCAAGGGAACAAUCUGGAGAAAGAAUUGGAAAGCUUGCAGCAGAGAGCCUCCAGGUGGAUAUUGAGGAAGGUCAACAGAAACUAGACCAAUUACCAUUACAGGUAGUGCAAGCUCCAUUACAGGGAAUUGGCAAGCUCGCAUCCGAGAGCCUCCAGAAGGCAGAUGUGGAGGAACACUUGGAAAUACUGGUAGAUGUUCCACAAAAUCUUGGAAGGCUUCAUUACGAUGAAGACCAAAAGAGAGUAGGCCAGUUAUCAUUAUGGGGUGGACAAAAUACGACGGAAAAGGUCAACCGCCAUGGUGCAAGCAAUUCUAGCUCUACCUCUACUGGGUUCAACGAGUUGAACAUUUUGGGAAUUGACAACAAGAAAGCACACAUGAUUUUCAAUAGGAACAACAGGCGUACAUUAGAACAGUCGCAUUUUCUGAAUAUCUUGAGAAAGGAGGAGCUCAGGCCAAUACUAAGGAGUAGCAAUCUCAUUAGAGAAAGUGGGUCCACUAAAGUUUACAAAGGAGUUGUUGAUAAUACAAUGGUUGCAGUAAAGAAAACAUUUAAUGCUCAGAACAAGCAAUUAGAAAAGGAGGUUAUCAUCCACUCUCAAAUCAUCCACAAGAACAUUGCUUGUCUCAUAGGUUGUUGCCUAGAAAUGGAUAGCCCCAUUCGCGUUUAUGAGUUCCUCCCCAAAGGAAGCCUUCAUGGCAUUCUUCACAGCGGCAACAAGGUGCCUCUAAACUUGGAUGUGCGUCUAAAUAUUGUUGCAGAAUCAGCACAAGGUCUAGCUUAUCUGCAUUCACAAGCUCGUACCAAAAUCGUGCAUGGUGAUGUAAAACCGGCAAGUAUACUCUUGGAUGAAAAUUUUAUACCAAAUAUCUCAGGCUUUGGCACGUCGAGGUUGGUUGAGAGGGAUGGGCAACACACUAGACUCAUCAUCAGUGACAAGACUUAUAUGGAUCCAGUAUACCUGCAAACAGGGUUAUUGACCGAGAAAAGUGAUGUCUAUAGUUUUGGAAUUGUGGUCUUGGAGCUCAUUAGUAGGAAAAAGGCCACUCAUACUGAUGAUGACUGGUAG
rnacentral:rRNA from 1 species